UCCUAGGGAGGCAGCAGUGGGGAAUAUUGCACAAUGGGGGGAACCCUGAUGCAGCGACGCCGCGUGGGUGAAGGAGUACUUCGGUACGUAAAGCCCUAUCAGCAGGAAAGAAAAUGACGGUACCUGACUAAGAAGCCCCGGCUAACUACGUGCCAGCAGCCGCGGUAAUACGUAGGGGGCAAGCGUUAUCCGGAUUUACUGGGUGUAAAGGGAGUGUAGAUGGCAGUGCAAGUCCGGAGUGAAAGCCCGGGGCUCAACCCUGGGACUGUUCUGGAAACUGUAAAGCUGGAGUGAGGAAGGGGAAG
rnacentral:rRNA from 1 species